CCAGAAAAGAAUAGUGCUGGAAUCUCUUACUGAAACUGCCUCAUUUAAGCCGGUUAACAAUUACCACACAUGAAAUAGCAACUGAACAACACACGUAAGAAGAUGCAGAGAAUGUGGAGUCACCAGCCCUGGUCGUGUUCCAGAACCAUGGAGAUGUGGCACUGAGGGCCAUGGAGCCAAUUCCAAGAAAGCAAGACGGCGAGGUCCUGAGGACAAGAUGAUGGAUGGAGACAUGGAGUUCACAGCACUUCAUUCAGCUCCUCAAGUUCUUUCUUAAGAUAAUGAUAAAGUUAAACGGAUCAAUUUUAGAGCUCUAUAGCAGCAGGCUGUCUGUGGAUUGACAAGACACAAAGUGAAUUACCCACUUAGAUGUCAUCAGGCUGACACAACACAGACUGUAUCAGCACUUGCAAUAUCCAGUUCUAGUAUAUUUUUAAUAAACCAAUUAUUAUCUCGCAGAUUGCAUGCACUGAAUAACGCUAAAAUCAUGGCUUAACUGUUCAAGAUGAUCUUGUUUUUAUUUUUAAUAUCAUCACUUAAUAGCUGGGACAAUAUUCAGGCAUCCCUAACUCCAUGCCAGAGCACCCACUACUGUGAGCUGAUAUUUCUGAGAACAGGAGCAAAUCCUUGGAGGAGGUGAAUUAGUGCAACUCCAUUAAAUGAAUGGAGCUUUAUUCACAUCCAGGAAGUAAGUAGCUCCCUCCCCUGGUUUCUGAAUUAGUCCCACAUGUAAAGCAG
ensembl:lncRNA